CGGAGCGCAGUGACCAUGUGGACGCGCAGCUAAGGCGGCGGCGGGCGCAGCCUCCGGGAGCCGGACCGCCGCCGGAAUGGGGCUACCGAACCGUCCAUAGCCCGCCCCGCCGCCUCCGUAGCCAGGGGCAGUAAGCCAGAGAUGACUGACAAGAUGUCGAGCUUCCUUCAUAUUGGAGAUAUUUGUUCUCUCUAUGCAGAGGGCUCAACAAAUGGAUUUAUUAGCACUUUGGGCCUUGUGGAUGAUCGGUGUGUUGUACAGCCAGAAGCAGGUGAUCUUAACAACCCACCCAAAAAAU